rnacentral:lncRNA from 1 species
AACGUUCAGUACGCGUCUGUCAUUUCCAUUUGACUGUUAAACAAACUGGAGACUAUAGAGGCCAAGGGAAAACUUGCCCUCUGCCCUCAGGAGAUUCACGGAAAAUCAACUGACAAAGUAAGAGAAAAGGCAUACAGAUUUAUUCAUGCACACAGGGAGAACCAGAGUGAUGACCCCAACCUCCCAAUGGGGUUCGGAAGCUUAUAUACCAUCUUGAGGUUACAGAAAGAACAUGGGCUCAAAGUAUGGCCACAGUUUAUGGUGGAAAAUCAGGUGACCAGUGGCAAGACCGGUUACAGGAGGGAGAGCAGAGGAGGCCUGGCUAGCAAAGGUGGCCUUGUUCUACAGAUGAAACCUCACAGGUAGCAGCCCUGAGAGAGAACAGAUGGUGAAUGUUCCCUUCAGGCCUUUAAAGGCGUCAGACUGUUACUCUUCCCAGAUCAGGCAAGGAGGGCCUCAGAGGAGGCCUGGCCGCAUCAGUGUAGAUUCUCUCCACAGAUGCAAAUCUCCCCCACAAAAGACAGCUUUUCAGCUAUUCUUCUAUUUCCAGUCCUUCUGAGUAACUGUCUUGAACCGUGUCAAGGAAAUAUUUUUGUUGUUGUUGUUUGUUUGUUUUGAGGCAGAGUCUCACUCCGUCACCCAGGCUGGAGUGCAGUGGUGCAAUCUCAGCUCACUGCAACCUCCACCUACUGGGUUCAAGUGAUUCUCCUGCUUCAGCCUCCCUGGGAUUACAGGCAUGCACCACCAUGCCUGGCUAAUUUUUGUAUUUUUAGUAGAGACGGGGUCUCGCCAUGUUGGCCAGCCUGGUCUCAAACUCCUGACCUCAGGUGAUCUGCCCACCUCGGCCUCACGAAGUGCUGGGAUUACAGGCGUGAGUCACCAUGCCCAGCCAUGGAAAUACAUUUUGGGGCGAAAUAUUUUGGUUUCCUUCAGUCCCCACUUUGAGACUUUCAGAAAGUUGCCCAUAUAAAAAGAAAGUUGAUAGCUUUGAAGAGAUUUGAGUUAGAGGUUGUUAGAUAAGAGACAGGCAGAGGCGGGCAAAAAGAAAUUGGGAUAAGCAGAAAAAGACAAAUUUAAAUGUCAUCCUGGCAGGGCACAGUGGCUCAUGGCUGUAAAUCUCAGCACUUUGGGAAGCUGAGGCAGGAGGAGCACUUGAGCCCAGGUGUUCAGACCAGCCCGGGCAUCACAGGGAGACUCUAUUGCUACAAAAAAUAAAAAAUUAGCCAGGCAUGGUAGUUUGUGUCUGUGGUCCCAGCUACCUGGGAGGCUGAUGCAGCAGGAUGACCUGAGCCUGGGAAGUCAAGUCUGCAGAGAGCUGUGAUCACACCACUUUGUGGGUGAGUGAGUGAGACCCUGUCUCUGAAAAAUAGAUAUGUAUCAUGCCAUAUUUUCUUGAAUCCGUCUCUUAGUCCUGAGACUAGAUCAGCUCAGUUAAACAGCUGUAUCCUAUUCCAAGAAGUGGCAUUGCAGAUGGGCUGGGACCUCGUAUAUAAUUCACACAAACAGAUCUUUAACAAGAUACAAUUCUAUGGAAACAGAAGAAAAAAAACGGUGAAUGUCUGGUGUCAUCCAUAGACUAGCUUUUCUAGCUCUCCUCAAUCUGAGGCAUCUGGAGCAUCUUCAGAUUGCAAUGGCAAUUUGACAGAUUUUUCUGGAUUGUAGUUCUAAUUGGGUGUUCAAGUGAACUUUCUGAAUAGUCCAUAUAUCAACAGGCACAAAGGCUAUUUAUACAUAAGUCGCUGUGAUGAUUUCUCCUGAAGAUUAUAAGUAAUUUAGCUUCAGUUGCAGGGCUUCAAGAAAAGCCAUUUUAAUUUCCAGUGAUUUUAAAUCAGAAAAAUGGGAGAAAAACUGGAAAGCAUUAGUUUAGAGACUUGGAGCUAGGAAAGAAUGCAGGAUUCAGUUCAAACUAUAGGCAAAUGAUAACAACUCAAAAACAAGUCAGUCCGGACUCUCGUAACAGGUGUCAACAGUCAGUCCGGACUCUCGUGACAGGUGUCAACAGUCAGUCCGGACUCUAAUAACAGGUGUCAACAGUCAGUCUGGACUCUAAUAACAGGUAUACUAUAGUUUUCUUCUAAAACAUAUUUUUUCUCUCUCCAGUCUCCCUUUUCCACAAAAGACAAAUCAGAGUAAGAACAACUGAUUUACAAAAUAAGUUUUAGUCUUAUUAUAAUUGGCCUGAUUAUUUGCAUAAAGUACAGUAAUAAUAGUGACUGGCCAUUCAACCUCUUUUAAAGUUGGCUUUGCCAGAACUUUUUCAUAAGGAAUCUCAGAUUAGACUUUUAAAAGCAUCUUGAGGCCGGGCAUGGUGGCUCACGCCUGUAAUCCCAGCACUUUGGGAGGCCGAGGCGGGCGGAUCGUGGGCUCAGGAGAUCAAGACUAUCCUGGCUAACACAGUGAAACCCCAUCUCUACUAAAAAUACAAAGAAAAUCAGCCACGUGUGGUGGCGGGCGCCUGUAGUACCAGCUACUCAGGAGGCUAAGGCAGGAGAAUGGCAUGAACCCGGGAGACGGAGCUUGCAGUGAGCCAAGACCGCGCCACUACACUCCAGCCUGGGCGACAGAGCGAGAUCGGUCUCAAAAAAAAAAAACCAAAAACCAAAAAAAAAAAAAAAAAAAAAAAGUACUUGUCUGGGUACUUUACAUGAGUUUCCUUGAGGAAGAAGCAAGUCUUGAACUGUAGCUAAUUAUAAGCUGCUUUUUAAAAAGAAUCAAAGUAAAACAGUAAUUGACUGUGGAUGACAGAUGACUUAGACUAAUGAUGGUUACAGAUGCAAUUCACAAGGAGAUUUGUUUUUUUGUGUGACAUACAACAAUUUAACAUAAUAAUUAUAAUUUUGAGCCAGGCGUGGUGGCUCAUACCUGUAAUCCCUGCACUUUGGGAGACCAAGGCAGGAGGGCUGCUUGAGCUCAGGAGUUCGAGAUGAGCCUGGGUGGCACAGCAAGAUCCUGUCUCCAAAAUAAUAAAUAAAUAAAUAAAGACAGCAUGAGGCAAACUCUCUACUCCUCCUUUUUUUUUGUGAGACAGAGUCUCACUCUUGUUGCCCAGGCUGGAGUGCAGUGGCACAAUCUCAGCUCACUGCAACCUCCGCCUCCCGGGUUCAAGCGAUUCUCCUGCCUCGGCCUCCUGAGUAGCUGGGACUACAGGCAGGCGCCACCACGCCUGGCUAAUUUUUGUAUUUUUAGUAGAGAUGGGGUUUCACCAUCUUGGCCAGGCUAGUCUCAAACGCCUGACCUCAGGUGAUCCACCCACCUCGGCCUCCCAAAGUGCUGGGAUUACAGGUGUGAACCACCGUACCGGGCCUACUCCUCCUUUUCUUGUAGUUUACUCAAAAGGUAAACAAAAAUCUUUUACUGUCUCUUAUUAAUACUACAUGAAAAUCUUACUCAAAAAUGAAAACUAAAUUCUACCUUUACAUUAGCAUAUUAUUAAUACUAAAGCUAAUUUUAAUAAAAACUUAAAAACAGAUCCAUUCAAUCUCAAUCAGCUUUGACCACAUAAGAUUUCCAUAAACCUUUAAUAACCUCUUAAAAUUUGUUCCAUUCUUUGUUUCUCAAACUUUCUAUAUAUAUUCAGUUUUAUCUAUCAUUUUUUUAUUCCUUUAAUUUAAAACAACCUUUAAAAACAUCAAAACUAGACAAAAUUACUUUUCCUUUAACAAAAACCUCAUUCUCAUGCCUUCUUUAUAACCUUCCUUACCAAAAACACAUCCUACUUUCUUAUAAACUUUGCAUACAGAAGUGUUUCUCUUAUAUCUAGUAGUUUUAAAUACAUAUAUUAAUUACAAUGUUAACUCUUAGGAAGCCUAAUUUUCAGUGAAAAACAUGGGAAGUAAGCAAUUUUAAUUGUUAUUAAAGAUGCAAAGCCCAGGACAAAGGACAGAGCUUUAAAGACUGAUAUGGUUUGGCUGUGUCCCCACCCAAAUCUCAUCUUGAACUGUAGUUCCCAAAAUCCACAGGUGUUGUGGGAGGGACCCAGUGGGAGGUGAUUAGAUGAAGGGGGCGGUUCCCCCACGCUGUUUUUGUGCUAGUGAGUUCUCACGAGGUCUCAUGGUUUCAUGAGGUGCUUCCCCACUCUUCGCUCUGCACACCUCCUUCCUGACCUCAUGUGAAGAACGUGUUUGCUUCCUCUUCCGCCAUGAUUGUAAGUUUCCUGAGGCUUCCCAGCCACGCUGAACUGUGAGUCAAUUAAACCUCUUUCCUUUACAAAUCACCCAGUCUCAGGUAUGUCUUUAUUAGCAGUGUGAGAAUGGGCUACUACAAAGACAAUGCCUGGAGGACUCAACCCCUCCCAGCAUGACCGGGGGGCACAGCUGGGCCAGGGAGGACAAUGCUCGGGCACUGCAGACACACAGCAUGACCGGGGGGCACAGCUGGGCAAGAGAGGACAAUGCUCGGGCACUGCAGACACACAGCAUGGCUGGGGCGCACAGCUGGGCUAGGGAGGACGGGGCUCAGGCACUGCAGACACACAGUAUGGCCGGGGGGCACAGCUGGGCUAGGGAGGACGGGGCUCGGGCACUGCAGACAAACAGCAUGACCGGGGGGUACAGCUGGGCCAGGGAGGAUGGGGCUUAGGUACUGCGGACACACAGAUGUCUCCAGGCCACAUCAUGUCCACUUGUCUUGACCCCAGAAUGUAGAGGCUCAAAGCCAAAGACCUAAGUUCACAGACAAAUUAAGCAAGUAUCAGAAAUAUGACAGAAGCAAAUUUUAUGACCUUAAAGCAUCUAACAGAGACUGUCUGAACCUGUCCGACCAAUGGGCCCAAGCAAAGAUGUCUCAAUUAUAUUUAAGACUGACGACUUUGAAGAUAUUCUAAUUUUAGCAUCAUUUUUUUUUUUGAGAUGGAGUCUCACUCUGUCACCCAGGCUAGAGUGCAGUAGUGCAGUCUCGGCUCACUGCAACCUCUACCUCCCAGGUUCAAGUGAUUCUCCUGCCUCAGCCUCCUGAGUAGCUAGGACUACAGGCGCAUGCCACCACGCCUGGCUAAUUUUUGUAUUUUUAGUAGAGACGGGGUUUCACCAUGUUGGCCAGGAUGGUCUCGAUCUCUUGACCUCGUGAUUUGCCCGCCUCAGCCUCCCAAAGUGCUGGGAUUACAGGUGUGAGCCACUGCACCCAGCAGCAACAAUUUUAAAACUAAGUUUAUUUGCCAAAGAUUACUAGUCACAUGAACUAGAAAAGCAUCUGGGUUUAGUUACAUCAUUCAUGAGCACUUAUUUAUUUAUACGUCAAUUUGCUACUAUGUACAUAAUAUACAAACAGGCAUGUACACAUAAAAAUACAGACACAAAUCAAGAUUUUAUAGCUUUAGUUUUAAGAUUUUAGCCACGAAUCGGGUAAAAAUCACUAGUUUAAAAGGAUACUUAAAAUUGUGCCUCUGUAAAUGGAACAAGGUAAAAUUUAUCUGUCUCACACGGCCAAAGCCCUUACCAAGUUUUAGAGAAAACAAGGCAACAAAUUUACAUCUUGAAGCACAGAGAAAAAAAAAUUAUUUUUAUUUACUGAAUUUUUUCAAGACGGAGUCUUGCUCUGUCGCCCAGGUUGGAGUGCAACGGCACGAUCUUGACUCACUGCAACCUCUGCCUCCUUGGUUCAAGCAAUUCCACAGGGAGAAAGUUUAAGCUUUGAUUUAGUAUGUUAAAGGAAGAUUUUAAAUGGAUGCUGAGGUAACAAAAAGUCAUAGAAAUUCACCACAGGAUUUUAUAAGGACAACAAUGUUAUUUAAAUAUGUGGCUAUUAAUUUAUUCUCCAUUUUUGAACUAGACCACUGGGCUCAGGACAGAGCUCAUUAAUGAACAUGGCCAAAAAAGCAUUUGCAGUUUGGAGGACCUAAUAUUUAAAUAUGUGAAAAACAGGUGCAGCUGGAAGGCAGAGCAUCUAGAUCUUUUAAAAUCAAGGAUCCCACAUUUACACUGAAUGCUGAGUUCCCUCUAAAAAGAGAUAUAUAUGAGACAAAGCCAUACAGUGUUUCCACAGUGUACCUCACUAUGAAGACAUUCCCCUGAGGCUGGUGGGAGACCCACAGCAAUCAGCCCACGGAGUCUCAGCCUUUGACGCCAAGUGCUUCCAUAGUCUCCAAGUGUUCAGAUUGUGCCUUUCUCAUCUAAACAUGCAGAGAAACAAGCAGCCACUGCAGGAACAACCAUUCACUACAACUGCUUUCAGCCACCUCCAAAACUGUGAGGCAGCCCUCGCCAGUGACCUGCCGGCCAUCACACACACUCAGGUCAUGCACUGUCUCACAGUGCAACGUAAUCCCUGGUACCCCCAAAGCCAAAGAGAUCCAGUGACACAGUGCCAAAGACAGCCAAGCUUUAGACCCGAGAGGAAGCUACCCACGACUCCUCAGGCCCCAUAAGGAAGACAAAAGCGGGGCGCGUGGCACCUUUCUUUGCGUUCCCCAAGGGGUCUCUAAGUCAUCAGAAGUCCCUUGUAGAUCCCUUCAUUAGGUACCAAAGAUGGCAAAGGGGAUGGAGGAGCACGGAGGGGUAGAAGUAAAUGGGACUGCAAUCCUUAGAGGAGCCAAUUUGGAAAAAUGUUAAGGUUCUAAAAGGCCAAUACAAUUUUACAUUUUUCUCAUCAAAAUUAUACCAACAAAGGAACCAAACAGAAGGACCAAACACACAAUUUAAAGGGGUUUCAGUCACCUGAAAAAAAAAUUCCCAGAAACAGGGUCCAAAAGCAGAAAAGGCUGUAGAUACAUGGCUUGAAGAUCAGCUCACCUGUUUUUAAUUAAGCCAACUUCUGACCACAGAGCUCUUUUUUAAAAUCCUUUCAAAUAUCUUAUUAUCAGAUUUUAGCUGAGACCAACAGCUGAUAGCCAUGGCUUUGAGACCUUUUUUUUUAAAACCAAAGGUACCUCCCAAGUGACUCACCAAAACCAAUAAGCCUUAACUAAAGCUAUGGACUUAACCAAGGACACAUAAGCCAUCUCCAAAGAGGCGCAAAGCAGUCCUGAUGACAUCCAGAGCCACCCCAAAGAGCUCAAAGAAAGGAAAUCAAAAGCUGCCAGUGGAGGGGGAAAGGGUCAACAACAAAUGAGUUCCGCACAAAGUCAAAAGUUGGCUGGGUGCGUGGCUCACGCUGGUAAUCCCAGCACUUUGGGAGGCCGAGGCAGCCGGAUCACAAGGUCAGGAGUUCGAGACCAGCCUGGCCAACACGGUGAAACCCCAUGUCUACUAAAAAUACAAAAAAAAAAAAGAAAAAAAAAGAAAAUUAGCUGGGCGUGGUGGCUCACACCUGUAAUCCCAGCACUCUGGGAGGCCAAGGCGGGAGGAUCACGAGGUCAGGAGUUCGAGACCAGCCUGGCCAACAUGGUGAAACCCCAUCUCUACUAAAAAUACACACACACAAAAAAAUCAGCCGGGCGUGGUGGCUCACACCUGUAAUCCCAGCUACUCCAGAGGCUGAGGCAGGAGAAUUGCUUAAACCCAGGAGGCAGAGGGUGCAGUGAGCCAAGAUCAUGCCACUGCACUCCAGCCUGGGCGACAGAGCAAGACUCCGUCUCCAAAAAAAAAACAAAAGAAAGAAUUCAAAAGUCACACAAAUAUCAAACCAAAAGGGACUGGUUCCUCUAUUGGGAAUUGAACCCAGGCCAUGGUAGUGAAAGUACAGAAUUUUAAGUAGUUUCCAAGAUGCAGCAGUCUUCAUUGUGAAUCCUGCAGGGAUCCAAAGCAAUGGUUUGCGCGCACAAAGGAUUUUAACUUGUUACAGGUCAGAUUUUUGCUCUUUAAUUUUGUGAAGAGGAUUUCUAAGGCUAGCCACAACAUUAUUAUGUGUCUUUCCUUUAAUCUCCCCACAAAUACAAAUAAGGCAAUUGUUUAGAAUGAGAGACCUCUAAAAUCUUUUUUUUUUUUUAAUUUAGGGAUCUUUCUAAUGUAAAGGAUUCAUCUUUUGGCUAUUGACAAUCAGAAUUUCCAAUGAUGUAUUUAUUCCAAUAGCAACUCAAUCCAAGAAGCCCCUUCAUGGAAAGCCCAAAAGAUUAUUUUCCAGGUUUAGAGAGGGCAUAGAAGAGGAGGUUCCAAUGAUGCCCCCAAAAUUCACUCCCAGGAAUAGGCAAAGACAGCAAAAGACUCUUGUUCCCAGAGACAGUUAAGGAACGUGUUUGUACAUACAGUGCCUCCAGUAACACACAAUCUGUCAGGGGCUGCCAGUCACAGACCCAUUAACCUGUAACACAGGGUAGGCCUGUUGGGAUUGGGCUUUCUGAGGACUGACCAGGCAACAAACAUUGGGAUGACAAAAGCCCCUUAUGGAUGGGCCUGAGGAGAGCAAAAACCACCUGGCGACCAUCAAACAUCAAACAGGCCCUCCGAGGCAAAACUCCUUAUCUGGGGAAAAUCAAAAGUAACUAAACCUCCCUAUUAUCUAAAGCAGGCAUCUGGUUCCAGAUUUCUUCCCCCAAAAAACGUGUAAGUAACUAUAAUUUCUAUGUGUCUCCAGAAUACCAUGACGAAACUCACUGUACAACCGUCGCUGACAUUAAGGCACCAAAAUUACUAUAAAUGUAAUCAUUUAUCAUGACUUACGUGGCUAAUAUGGUCCAAAUUACUGUUAAGCCUCCACUUUAAGGCCUAUAAAUGCCCUUAAGGAGAAAUCCACCCGGCGUACUCAGUCCUCUUGCUGAGGCACCUCAUUGCACUCUUCUGCAGCAUUCUAAUAAACUUUCUUUCUUUUCUUUUUUUUUCUUUUUUUUUUUUUUGAGAUGGAGUUUCACUCUUGUUGCCCAGGCUGGAGUGCAAUGGUAUGAUCUCAGCUCACCACAACCUCCAUCUCCCAGGUUCAAGCGAUUCUCCUGCCUCAGCCUCCCAAGUAGCUGGGAAUACAGGCUCCCGACACCAUGCCCAGCUAAUUUUUUGUAUUUUUAGUAGAGAUGGGGUUUCAUCAUGUUGGCCAGGCUGGUCUUGAACUCCUGCCCUCAGGUGAUCCACCUGCCUCAGCAUCCCAAAGUGCUGGGAUUACAGGCGUGAGCCACCGUGCCCGGCAAACUUUCUUUUUUCUUUUUUUUUUUGAGACAGUCUUGCUCUGUCUCAGCUCACUGCAACCUCCGCCUCCCAGGUUCAAGCAAUUCUCCUGCCUCAGCCUUCCAAGUAGCUGGGAUUACAGCCACGCACCACCACACCUGGCUAAGUUUUAUACUUUCAGUAGAGACAGGGUUUCUCCAUGUUGGCCAGGCUGGUCUCAAACUCCUGACCUCAGGUGAUCCACCCACCUUGGACUUCCAAAGUGCUGAGAGUACAAGCAUGAGCCACUAUGCCCGGCCAAACUUUCCUUUUUCAAACCUAUUGUCGGUAAACUCUUUUUACCAACCCGCAAGUUGACCACCACUCCCAGUGCCGGGGCUCUGACAGCUCGCCUGGCAGGGACUUCUUAAGACAAACUAAAAGCUUGACACAUUCAGAACAAAAACGGUGCUGCUUAAAAUAUUAAAUGUCUUGGGUUCCCAACCAUUUUCAGACUGACCACAAAAUGUGACCUGCGAGUCACUACCUCGGAUUGGCAGAGGCCAAGAGAGUGCUCCUGAGGUAGGAGGUGGGACUUAGUUGACCCAGUUGAGGAUUGGCUAAAACAGGGUUGGGGCAAUAGCAGCUUUCAGUCAGAUAUGCCCGCCACUGUGCCAUGUCAGUUUACCAUUGCCAUGGCAACACCCAGGAGUUGCCACCCCUUUCCAUGGCAAUGACCCAAUGAUGACUACUCCUUCCCUAGAAACUUCUGCAUAAACCAUCCUUUAAUCUACAUGCAAUCAAAAGUGCGUAUAAAUGUGACUGCAAAACUGCCCUGAGCUGCUACUCUCAGCCUACGGGGUGGCCCUGCUCUGCAGGAGCAGUCACAGAGCUCUAACGCCACCUGUUCAAUAAAGCUGUUUUCUUCUACCUCUGGCUUGUCUUUGAAUUCUUUCCUGGGCAAAGCCAAAACCCUCACUGGCUAAGCUCCACUCUGGGGUCUGCCUGGCCUGCAUCAUUCCCACUCGCUCACAACUCAAGCUUUCAAGGACAUCAAAAGAGAGGAGAAUCUCAUCCAGUUUUCAGUUCAGGGACCCACAGCAAAGUCUGUCUAACUAGACGCAUCCGAUCAGAGCUGCAAAACUGACUAGCCUGCAGGACGGCCCCAAGACGGGGUUUACAGGGGUUUUAGGCCUGUGUUCUACCCUCUUUAUGACAGAAAAACACAGAAAGACAAGAAUGAAAGACGACUAUUUCUGGGGAAAAAAAGCAAUCAAACAAUAUGAAUACAAAACUAAUCACAUAAAUACAUUUCUCUCAUUAAAACUUUGAAGAGGAAAACAAGGUAAACAGACAUUUUUACCGUCGGCUUGACAAGAUUCCAGAGAGGCCGGGAGCCUGGCUGCUAAGACCUUCUUACCCUUCUUUCUGCCAGCUUGUCGGCUCCUGGGUUCCCCUGACGGAGGCUCCCAGGAGAGUGACUUUAGUUAUCCUACCGACUGCACCAAAACUGUAGGAGCCUAGAGAAAAACUUUUCUGCAUUCUGAGUUCACAGAAAAUCAACUGACAAAAGCCAGGUUAGUAAGAAAAAAGGCAUACAGAUUUAUUCAUGCACACAGGGAGAACCAGAGUGAUGACCCCAACCUCCCAAUGGGGUUCGGAAGCUUAUAUACCAUCUUGAGGUUACAGAAAGAACAUGGGCUCAAAGUAUGGCCACAGUUUAUGGUGGAAAAUCAGGUGACCAGUGGCAAGACCGGUUACAGGAGGGAGAGCAGAGGAGGCCUGGCUAGCAAAGGUGGCCUUGUUCUACAGAUGAAACCUCACAGGUAGCAGCCCUGAGAGAGAACAGAUGGUGAAUGUUCCCUUCAGGCCUUUAAAGGCGUCAGACUGUUACUCUUCCCAGAUCAGGCAAGGAGGGCCUCAGAGGAGGCCUGGCCGCAUCAGUGUAGAUUCUCUCCACAGAUGCAAAUCUCCCCCACAAAAGACAGCUUUUCAGCUAUUCUUCUAUUUCCAGUCCUUCUGAGUAACUGUCUUGAACCGUGUCAAGGAAAUAUAUUUGGAGGUGACAUAUUGUGUUUUCCUUCAAGAUCAAAAAGGUUAAGUCCAAGGCUGCCCAACGAGGGAGCGAGGACCCAAUCACGUUGUCCUCAGAUGAGUUUUUCCCCAGCAGCGUAACCCUGCAACAGGCCAGACUGGACCCCAGACACACAUUCCACACCACACCACGCCUCCACCACCACACGCACACAACAGACACACCCUAAACACCAGACACACACACACACCUCAACCACCGCAAACACACAUACGCCACACCUCUAACACCACACACACCCAACACCACACACAUACGUGCCUCAAACACUACACACACCUCAACCACCAUACACCUCAACCACACACACCCCUCAAACACCAAACACACCCCUCAACCACACACACACACCCCUCAAACACCACACACCCACCUCAAACACCACACACACAUAUCCCUCAAACACUACAAAAACACACACACACACCUCAAACACCACACAUGCACACACACCUGAAACACCACACACCUGCCUCAAACACUCCACACACACCACACACAGACACGUACACAGCCCCCCGCACCCAGCCACAGCUUACACGCACACAGACACGCGUACGCAGGAGAAAGGGUGUCAAAGCUUUUGCUAGUCGUGAAGGAAGAGCCCGCAGUCCAUGGGGCUGCACGGUUUUCCCUGCCAUUUGCUCAUUCACCGGGUGCCCAUAACGCUCCGCGCUCAGGUCUCUUACAGGAGGGCCCGAGUCUCCCAGUACCGGAGGUCUGGGGGCGCACGAGCCGCUCCUCCUCUGGAGAAGCUCCGGACCGAGAGGACACCGGACACUGCGCAGCGCCGAGCCCCGCGCGCAGCCCGGGACGCCUCAGCCAGGGCCGACCGCGCAGAGGAAGCUCCCAGAGCCCGUUUCAAGACCGCAGCCAACAGCCUCAGGCGCACACGGCGGCCUCGGAGCGAGCACGC